UACGUAGGGGGCAAGCGUUGUCCGGAAUCAUUGGGCGUAAAGAGCGUGUAGGCGGCUCGAUAAGUCUGCUGUGAAAGUCCAGGGCUCAACCCUGGAAGACCGGUGGAAACUGUCGGGCUAGAGUCCGGAAGAGGCGAGUGGAAUUCCCGGUGUAGCGGUGAAAUGCGCAGAUAUCAGGAGGAACACCAAUGGCGAAGGCAGCUCGCUGGGACGGUACUGACGCUGAGGCGCGAAAGCGUGGGGAGCAAACAGG
rnacentral:rRNA from 1 species